rnacentral:rRNA from 1 species
UACGUAGGGUGCGAGCGUUAAUCGGAAUUACUGGGCGUAAAGCGUGCGUAGGUGGUUCGUUGUGUCUGUGGUGAAAGCCCCGGGCUUAACCUGGGAAUGGCCAUGGAAACUGGCGAGCUGGAGUCUGGCAGAGGGGGGUGGAAUUCCGCGUGUAGCAGUGAAAUGCGUAGAGAUGCGGAGGAACACCGAUGGCGAAGGCAGCCCCCUGGGCUAAGACUGACGCUGAGGCACGAAAGUGUGGGGAUCAAACAGG